AUACUACUUCCUCCGUCCGGAAAUAUUUGUUAUUAAAAUGGAUAAAAGAAGAUGUAUCUAAACGUAUUUUAAUUUUAGAUACAUUCAUUUUUAUUUGUUUUGAUGACAAGUAUUUUCGGACGGAAAGAGUAAUAC
rfam:Triticum aestivum genome assembly, contig: Triticum_aestivum_CS42_TGACv1_scaffold_049438_1BS